UACGGAGGAGGAAAGCGUUAUCCGGAAUUAUUGGGCGUAAAGCGACCGUAGGUGGUUCACCAAGUCUGCUGUCAAAGGGUGGGGCUUAACCUCAUAAAGGCAGUGGAAACUGGUGAGCUAGAGUGCGGUAGGGGUAAGGGGAAUUCCCAGUGUAGCGGUGAAAUGCGUAGAGAUUGGGAAGAACAUCGGUGGCGAAAGCGCCUUACUGGGCCUGCACUGACACUGAGGGACGAAAGCUAGGGGAGCGAAAGGG
rnacentral:rRNA from 1 species